rnacentral:rRNA from 1 species
AAUGAACGCUGGCGGCGUGCCUAAUACAUGCAAGUCGAGCGAACGGACGAGAAGCUUGCUUCUCUGAUGUUAGCGGCGGACGGGUGAGUAACACGUGGAUAACCUACCUAUAAGACUGGGAUAACUUCGGGAAACCGGAGCUAAUACCGGAUAAUAUUUUGAACCGCAUGGUUCAAAAGUGAAAGACGGUCUUGCUGUCACUUAUAGAUGGAUCCGCGCUGCAUUAGCUAGUUGGUAAGGUAACGGCUUACCAAGGCAACGAUGCAUAGCCGACCUGAGAGGGUGAUCGGCCACACUGGAACUGAGACACGGUCCAGACUCCUACGGGAGGCAGCAGUAGGGAAUCUUCCGCAAUGGGCGAAAGCCUGACGGAGCAACGCCGCGUGAGUGAUGAAGGUCUUCGGAUCGUAAAACUGUGUUAUUAGGGAAGAACAUAUGUGUAAGUAACUGUGCACAUCUUGACGGUACCUAAUCAGAAAGCCACGGCUAACUGCGUG